GGGGUUCAGGAGCAGAGGCCAGGGCACGGGAGGAAACAGAGAGCGAGGGGGAGGAGGCAGAAGAAAAGAUGAGUGAUGACGACGACCCGAGAUCUCCGAGUCUUUCCAGUGAAUCAGAAGAUUCACAGAAAGGAGCACCAGUGGCCAGGGCAAGGGGGGAGCCUAGGGGGACACCCCAGGAAGAUAGAGCCAGAGGGGACUCAGAGGGGAGCAGUUGGAAAUCGGGACCAGCGUCACCGCCAGAGAGCAGGGAAGAGGAAGGGAGCCAGGGAUCAAGCGCUGGCAGCUCACAACAGGGGGGAGGGCACGAGUCAGGAGUGGCCACACCUCCAUCGGGGAGCGAAGAAACGGUCAGACGGAAGGUGGAAGGUUGGGCGCGCGCGCCAAGUUCAAAUGCACAGGAAGGUGGCACAGUAGGCAGCCCGGAAAGGGAGCCAGGUCCUAAAGCCCGCCGAAAGGAGGGAGAAGAGUCAGGGGGGUCAGCGUCAGAGGAAUCCCGGAAAGAAGAGACCCCAGGGGGCAGAGGGACCCAGAGAAGAACAGUCAGGCGGAAAAGGUGGAGCAGGGCUAGGAUAUUAAGUUGGUGUACAAGGGGCGGAGACUCAGACGGAGCUUCGCCGGUCUAACCAUGAGACGUAGAGUUGCACGCAGCAGUUUGAGAAUGGAAACUGUAACUCAAUAAAGACUUUUGUUUAAUGAUCGCUGGCUAGCGUGAUCCUCUGUGAGCUAGGAUCUGGAAGCAGCUCUGACACCAUCCAUGGUUAAAAAAUGACCUUUGGCUUUUCUGUGAUAAGAAGGCCUAUAAGGAAAUCCCCAGUAGCUUUUCGGGGACUUGUACACUUGGUAUUGUAGUUCCAUUGAUUUAUAAGUUAGACAAUAUAUCCUCGCUUCGGCUUCGCAAGAAGAGAGAAGUAAACGCUCCUAUAGUUCAAUAUGUUGAAACUGUUAUUGCUAGGGCUGCCAUGCCCCCUCUUGGAGUUGCCAUGAAUUACAGGGACCUCCAUAGACUCUCCAACUGGACAGAAGGGCUAUUCAAUGCAACUAUAAAAGCCUUGAAAGAAAUUAACCAAGAAAUGUCCAAUACUCGUGAGGUCACCCUGCAAAAUCGUUAUGCUUUAGACACCAUAUUGGCCUCCAAGGGAGGGGUGUGUGGUUUAGUGUUAUCACAUUGUUGUAUGUAUAUUAAAGAUUAUAAUCUUAGCAUUUCUACAACUAUUAAUGAAAUGGAAGCCAUGAUUCAACAGAAUCCGAUUUUGCAUCCUGUCAUUCCUGACCCCUGGGCCUGGCUCCUUUCCUGGCUUCCCGAUGGCUCAUGGUUUCGUCAUUUAUUGCUAAUAGGCUUAGGAUUGGUUAUAGGAUUUGUGUGUAUUUGUUGUUGCAUACAAUGUAUUCCCUCGCUGAUUACCCAAUGUAUGGGGUGGUGGUCUCCCCGACGCACUUCCUUAGGUGUACCCCGCCGUGAAUAUGUUGCCCGAUAUAAGCGCUUUCGCAAUGAAAUAUAUGACUCUGAUUAAAUGAAAUAAAGAAAGAGGGCAUGUGGGGGUGCACUGGAAAAUAGCAGCCUUGUGCAAGAUUGUGCAAGAGGAAACACCUGCUGAUUAGUUUCCCCACCCGCCUGGGUCAGUGUCGAGUUGCUUAACCACAAAGCUUACGUGGCCGUCAUGCUGUCUGGAGUUAUAUCCUGGUAGAGAUCAGUUAUUAUUAGAUAUGCAAACCCUAGCUGUUUCCACCCGUGUGCUACACGUGUAUAUGCAACAUGAUGUUAUGUGCGCAAGGCUAAUAAACAUGCAAGGCUGCUGGUAGAGAGCGGCACUCCUUGCUCAAACCUUCACCACGACUCCUUGUCACUUUCCUCCGCACCUGGUGGGCUGGUUCCCCGACACACCCUUUGCGAUUUCUUCGUCAAUGUGCAUUAACAGCAAAGAACACGACUUGAAAUAAGUGAAAUUCAAGAUUCUUCGUUCUAUGUAGCUGGAACCCAAAACAACCUGUUUGGCUUUGUUUAGGCCUAUUACACUUCGCUUUGCUAUUUGUGGUUGAAUAAACACCGAAAGUACAAUCCAAGCUUAUUUGUCCUCUUUCUAUUGAGAUUGAACCAAAACACCCAUGCUUAGUUUGGGCUGAUAACAAACAUGUCACUCUGCUAUUUUUGGGUGAAUGUGCAUUCUAACCCCAAAAACACCAAUUUGAAAUUAGCUCAAUCAGAGCUUUAUGAUCUUUUUAUGUAGAUGGAACCCAAAACAGCUUCUUCCUUUGGUUGGUUGUGAUUCUGGUGCACACCCAAAAUCACCAUGCGAAUUGAAAUAAGCCCAAUCAAAGCUUAUUCGUCUUCUUUCUACGCAUAUGGAAGCGAAAAGACAGUGGUGUGUUAUGUUGGUCUGCAUACAAACACUUUGCGAUUUCUGGGUCACUGUGCAUUAACACCAAAGAACACGAAAUAAGCGAAAUCCAAUAUUCUUCUUUCUAUGUAGCUGGAAAUCAAAACAACCUGUUUGGCGAAAGACGGUGUUGUGUUAUGUUGGUCUGCAUACACACACUUUGCGAUUUCUGCGUCGAUGUGCAUUAACACCAAAGAACACGAAAUAAGCGAAAUCCAAGAUUCUUCUUUCUAUGUAGCUGGAAAUCAAAACAACCUGUUUGGCGAAAGACGGUGUUGUGUUAUUUUGGUCUGCAUACACACACUUUGCGAUUUCUGGGUCAAUGUGCAUUAACACCAAAGAACACGAAAUAAGCGAAAUCCAAGAUUCUUCUUUCUAUGCAGCUGGAAAUCAAAACAACCUGUUUGGCUUUGUUUAGGCUUAUUACACUUCGCUUUGCUAUUUGUGGGUGAAUAAACACCGAAAGAACAAUCCAAGCUUAUUUGUCCUCUUUCUAUUGAGAUUGAACCAAAACACCCAUGCUUAGUUUGGGCUGAUAACAAACAUGUCACUCUGCUAUUUUUGGGUGAAUGUGCAUUCUAACCCCAAAAACACCAAUUUGAAAUUAGCUCAAUCAGAGCUUUAUGAUCUUCUUUUUAUGUAGAUGGAACCCAAAACAGCUUCUUCCUUUGGUUGGUUGUGAUUCUGGUGCACACCCAAAAUCACCAUGCGAAUUGAAAUAAGCCCAAUCAAAGCUUAUUCGUCUUCUUUCUACGCAUAUGGAAGCGAAAAGACAGUGGUGUGUUAUGUUGGUCUGCAUACAAACACUUUGCGAUUUCUGGGUCAAUGUGCAUUAACACCAAAGAACACGAAAUAAGCGAAAUCCAAGAUUCUUCUUUCUAUGUAGCUGGAAAUCAAAACAACCUGUUUGGCGAAAGACGGUGUUGUGUUAUUUUGGUCUGCAUACACACACUUUGCGAUUUCUGGGUCAAUGUGCAUUAACACCAAAGAACACAAAAUAAGCGAAAUCCAAGAUUCUUCUUUCUAUGUAGCUGGAAAUCAAAACAACCUGUUUGGCUUUGCUUCGGCUUAUUGCAGUUCGCGUUGCUAUUUGUGGGUGAAUAAACACCGAAAGAACAAUCCAAGCUUAUUUGUCCUCUUUCUAUUGAGAUUGAACCAAAAACACCAUGCGAAUUGAAAUAAGCCCAAUCAAAGCUUAUUCGUCUUCUUUCUAUGCAUAUGGAAGCGAAAAGACAGUGGUGUGUUAUGUUGGUCUGCAUACACACACUUUGCGAUUUCUGCGUCGAUGUGCAUUAACACCAAAGAACACGAAAUAAGCGAAAUCCAAGAUUCUUCUUUCUAUGUAGCUGGAAAUCAAAACAACCUGUUUGGCGAAAGACGGUGUUGUGUUAUUUUGGUCUGCAUACACACACUUUGCGAUUUCUGGGUCAAUGUGCAUUAACACCAAAGAACACGAAAUAAGCGAAAUCCAAGAUUCUUCUUUCUAUGUAGCUGGAAAUCAAAACAACCUGUUUGGCUUUGCUUCGGCUUAUUGCAGUUUGCGUUGCUAUUUGUGGGUGAAUAAACACCGAAAGAACAAUCCAAGCUUAUUUGUCCUCUUUCUAUUGAGAUUGAACCAAAACACCCAUGCUUAGUUUGGGCUGAUAACAAACAUGUCACUCUGCUAUUUUUGGGUGAAUGUGCAUUCUAACCCCAAAAACACCAAUUUGAAAUUAGCUCAAUCAGAGCUUUAUGAUCUUCUUUUUAUGUAGAUGGAACCCAAAACAGCUUCUUCCUUUGGUUGGUUGUGAUUCUGGUGCACACCCAAAAUCACCAUGCGAAUUGAAAUAAGCCCAAUCAAAGCUUAUUCGUCUUCUUUCUACGCAUAUGGAAGCGAAAAGACAGUGGUGUGUUAUGUUGGUCUGCAUACAAACACUUUGCGAUUUCUGGGUCAAUGUGCAUUAACACCAAAGAACACGAAAUAUCUAAAACAAGGGGGUUUAUUCACCAGUAGGUGGAGCCUGUUGAUGCUAAUCCAACUAUAGGCUCUCCCCUGAUGUCACCGGAGGUCGUGCCAUGGCCUCCCGCCAAGCAGGCAUCGGACAGAGUACACGACCGCCUGAUUCCUUUAACGGAAUACCCAAAAACUGAAGGCAUAGGCGAUGGCCACACCCAGCCCUUCGACACACCACAACACAUUAUUCCAAUGCCUAACCGCCACCCGAGCCAAUAAGGCUCGCCGCCAAUACCCUCACGGCUGUAACCAAUCCCUAAUGCUGCUGAUGACACUAUCUAGCCAAAUGUCGUUCCCCUGGUCUGAGAGAUGCACCCUGUCAUUCCGGUAUAAGGCCCGGUCGCCGAUCCGGAUUUGGUCAUGAUAAAUGACUCGGCCAUUCAUGAAGCCGACGGGCCACUGCCCGAUUUACGAGUUUCCUGGUUUUUUCAAUGGCCAUACAGCUCAGCGCACCGCGCCAAAAAAUUCUCUUCAGGAAGGAGGACCAGAACACCGUUGUUCUGGGGCAGCAUACGCAUCCAAGUCUCUUUUUAUAUUCCACAACAAGUCCGCACUCCUUCUGUAAGCAAGGUCAUUUCCCCCUAAUUGAAUGACAAGGAUGCCGGGAGGGCCGAACGUGGCGACUUUUUCCCACAGCAAUGGCAUAAGCUCUUCCCAGCGCAUGCCUCUUCUCGAGAACCAGGAAACUCGAACACCGUGUGGCAGACCAAGAUUAGGCGCAAGGCCGCAGCUGACCGCCCGUACGUGGGCCCAAUGGACUAUACUGUGGCCGCAAAUCCACACGCUUCUCCUGAUCACAGCUGAGGAUGAAAGGACAGAAAAGGAGGUAAGUAGCAGAGCGCAUUCUAGCGAAUAUAACUUUUAUAAGCAUUGGAUUUCCACCGGCCCAUUUCUUUAAUCCUAUCCGCCGGCAGACCCAAGAGCACCGCUGUUGUGGUGGCCCCAAUCCUGAAUGAGUGUGCAGCAUAAUCCUGGGAAGAUAAACCACAGGCAUCAAUAGCUUUGCGGAGUACCCUUGUGAAUUGGUGUCUCAACAAAGGUGACCCAUCCUCGUGAACCAGGAGCAGGCCAGGACCAGGCAGUCUGAGGUAAAGGUACCAUCUAGUGUCCUUGACCGGGCAUGGGCCCCGCUGCGCUGAAGCUGUAAGUUUUACAAGGGAACCCCUACCUGCCUGAUCCGUUUUGGAUUGAUGUAUCCACACCGUCGUGCUAGCUCGGACAACUGCAAGUCCUCCGUGAGGAGGCCGCGCGUUGACCCAGUUGCAUUAACCUCGGCUACUACUUCACCGACCCUCAAGGUGCCAAAAGGCGAUCGCAUAUGCAGCGGGGGGGGGGGAAAGGCGGGUGUCAGGGCUGCCUCAAGUCUCAGCUCACAAAAGACCAACGCCUAUCUCUUCUUAUAUACAAAAGUGUUUAUUGCAGUUCAUUGUUUGCUUCACAUCCGAGGCGCGCAGCCCUACGUCUGCUACGCUUAGACCGCUGAAGUCCCCACUGAAUCCGUCCCUCCCCUGCACCAGUUUAAGAGGCUUGCGCUGCUCCACCUCUUUCUCUCUCUCCUUUUCUGCAGGGUCUUUCUGCCCGCUGGGGUUUCGCCCCUCCUGGAUUCCUCUGACGCGGAAUCCCCAGACUGCUCUUGCCCCCUCCUGCGGGCUUUGGGACCUGGCCCCUCCUCCGGGCUCCCUGUACUUCCGCGCGCCUCUACAUUUGAACUUGGAGCGCGCGCCCAACCUCUAACCUUCCUUUUAACAGCUACACUACUCCCUUCACUACUCCCCCCCCUUCCGGGAGGGUGGCUUGCUCCGGCCUCCCUCCCUUCUCUGCUGCCGGAGCUGCGUCCCCUGAUACACUGAAACCUCCACCCCCUUCGCUGCACUCUGGCGGGGAGGCUGGUCCUGACGCCCAGCUGCCACUUUGGGAUCCCCCGCUGGCCCCCUGCUCCUGACACGUCCCCCCCUGGCCUUGACCACCGGCGCCCCCUUCUGGGAAUCCUCUGAUUCGCUGGAAAGACUCAUGGAAUCUCUUGAGUCAUUGUCAUCCUCUUCCUCGCUGUCCUGGGAUGAAUCCCCAUCGCUCUCCAUCUCCUGCCUACCCUGUGCCUCUGUCCCUGAACCCCUGACAGCGGGCCUCAAACUUGGUCCAGCAGAUUGACCUAAACUUUGUGCAUAUCUGAGAGAGCAGCCCGUAAGGAAUUGGCUUAGCAUAUGCUGCGGAAAGAGGCGGGCCUCAAACUUGGUCCAACAGAUCGACUUAAGCUUUAUGCGUAUUUGAGAGAGCAGCCUGUAAGAAAUUGGCUUAUGGCCCUCGGCUCUAGGGGGUUGCAGCUUACCCCAACCUUCAAUAGCUCUGCGGAUCGGGAAGUCACUGCACGGGUCGGAGGAAAACAUGGUGUCAGGGGUUCAGGAGCAGAGGCAAGGGCAAGGGAGGAAACAGAGAGCGAGGGGGAGGAGGCAGAAGAAAAGAUGAGUGAUGACGACGACCCGAGAUCUCCGAGUCUUUCCAGUGAAUCAGAAGAUUCACAGAAAGGAGCACCAGUGGCCAGGGCAAGGGGGAGCCUAGGGGACGCCCCAGGAAGAUAGAGCCAGAGGGGACUCAGAGGGAGCAGUUGGAAAUCGGGACCAGCGUCACCGCCAGAGAGCAGGGAAGAGGAAGGGAGCCAGGGAUCAAGCGCUGGCAGCUCACAACAGGGGAGGGCACGAGUCAGGAGUGGCCACACCUCCAUCGGGGAGCGAAGAAACGGUCAGACGGAAGGUGGAAGGUUGGGCGCGCGCGCCAAGUUCAAAUGCACAGGAAGGUGGCACAGUAGGCAGCCCGGAAGGGAGCCAGGUCCUAAAGCCCGCCGAAAGGAGGGAGAAGAGUCAGGGUCAGCGUCAGCGUCAGAGGAAUCCCGGAAAGAAGAGACCCCAGGGGGCAGAGGGACCCAGAGAAGAACAGUCAGGCGGAAAAGGUGGAGCAGGGCUAGGAUAUUAAGUUGGUGUACAAGGGGCGGAGACUCAGACGGAGCUUCGCCGGUCUAACCAUGAGACGUAGAGUUGCACGCAGCAGUUUGAGAAUGGAAACUGUAACUCAAUAAAGACUUUUGUUUAAUGAUCGCUGGCUAGCGUGAUCCUCUGUGAGCUAGGAUCUGGAAGCAGCUCUGACACAUGGCUUUACAAAGAAGUUGAUGGCGGCUACGUGUAUCUUUAACGUUUUGGAGGCCCGGCCUAAAGGAGGCUAUAACGUAUGCCGCAGAGAACACCCGGGCCUCGAACUUGGACCAGCAAAUUGACCUAAGUUUCAUACGGAUUUGGGACAGCAGCUUGUAAGAAAUAGGCUUGCGGCCUUUGUUACUUGGAGGCUGCAGUCAACUGCAACCUUCAAUUGCCCUGCGGACCAUAAAGUCACAGCACGAAUCGGUGGAAAAACAUGGGUCUACUAAAGAAUGUGAUAGCGGCUAUGUGUAUC
rnacentral:lncRNA from 1 species